rnacentral:rRNA from 1 species
UGGGGAAUCUUGCACAAUGGGGGAAACCCUGAUGCAGCGACGCCGCGUGAGCGAUGAAGCCCUUCGGGGUGUAAAGCUCUUUCGACGGGAACGAUAAUGACGGUACCCGGAGAAGAAGCUGCGGCUAACUACGUGCCAGCAGCCGCGGUAAUACGUAGGCAGCAAGCGUUGUUCGGAGUUACUGGGCGUAAAGAGUACGUAGGCGGUUUGCUAAGUCUGGUGUGAAAUCUCCUGGCUUAACUGGGAGGGUGCGCUAGAUACUGGCAGGCUUGAGUAUGGGAGAGGAGAGUGGAAUUCCUGGUGUAGCGGUGAAAUGCGUAGAUAUCAGGAGGAACGCCGGUGGUGUAGACGGCUCUCUGGACCAUUACUGACGCUGAGGUACGAAAGCGUGGGUAGCAAACA